UCCUUCUCUAACUAACACUUAAAUGUCCUUUCACCAUGAUGCAAUUUCAUUUUGGCUUUUUGUUGUUGUGUUCAUAUAUUGUGCAUGAUAAGAUGAAAGCUUGCCUUUACUCGUUUCUGUAGGCUUAUUUCUGACUAGCAUAUUAUAGUCCUCUGCUUUUUUUUUUCCUUGUGAGCUCUCUAAACUUGAUUGCAUUUAGUUAGAAAAGGCAUGCUGGAGCUAUUACUUCUUGUUAAUUCUAGUACAUUGGAUUGAACUGAUAAUCAAUUAUGGACUUGAUGGUGUUAAGGAAUAUUAGCCAUGUCAACAUAUUUAAUAUGUUUAUUGGGAGGUGUUUUGAGGAAGGAGAAAAGCUCAGUAGACUUGACUGUUUGUUGGCUUAGAUACUGUGAUUCUGAUUUCUGGGAAAUGCUAGUAUACUUGAUGUAUUUCCGUGUGCUCAAAAUGUGGCUUUGAAUAUGUUCAUUUAAUUUCUUUGGAUUUCACUAAUUAUGUUUGUGUGUGUCUAGUAUUGUAUGAGUCUGGCUUUAUCAUUUACCAUUUUAGUUUUGCGCUUGUUAUUGUGGGCUGUUUUUCAUCAUAUUUUAUAUGCAGUUCUCACCCACAUCUGAGCAUAUAUUACUGGCUUAUGGCCGCCGUCAUGGAUCCCUUCUUAAAAGCAUCGUUAUUGAUGGGGAAACAACAUCUCCUAUUUACACAGUU
rnacentral:misc_RNA from 1 species